CUUGAUCAGGCGUUUCAAUUGGUAAAGCUUUCAUAAGUCUUUUCAUUUUUGUGGCUACUAAAAAAUACUACUUAGCAAGCAUUUGAUCUCUCCACAUUUCUCUGACUCCAUACUUAGUUAGAAAUCAGACUAAUAAGUGAUAAGUGGAAACUACAUCCUUAAAGGCAUUGAGCCCAGGUCGGCCUAGAAUAGCAUUGUAAGUUGAUCGUAUUUUGACAAUCAGAAAAGUGAGUCUUAUGGUUGACUGACGCGGUUCCACCCUUACAGUGAUGGGCAAAGCGACCUCCCCUUUCACAGCUACAAAAUUUUUAGAGAAUCCAAUUAGGGGGUGCCGACCUAUUUUAGCUAAUCUACUAUAUUCACUUUUUGGAAUGCAUCAUA
rnacentral:lncRNA from 1 species